rnacentral:tRNA from 2 species
GGGCAGUUGGCGCAGCGGUAGCGCGAUCGCCUCACACGCGAUAGGUCACAGGUUCAAAUCCUGUACUGCCCA